AUUGAACGCUGGCGGCGGGCCUAACACAUGCAAGUCGAACGCGUGGCGGACGGGUGAGUAAUGUCGGGGAAACUGCCCUAUGGAGGGGGAUAAAUACUGGAAACGGUACCUCAUACCGCAUACCAUCAGCUGUGACCAGAUGGGAUUAGCUAGUAGGUGGGGGAAUGGCUCACCUAGGCGACGAUGCAUAGCUGGUCUGAGAGGGUGACCAGCCACACUGGAGCGGAGACACGGUCCAGAGUCCUACGGGAGGCAGCAGUGGGGAAUAUUGCACAAUGGGCGCAAGCCUGAUGCAGCCAUGCAGCGUGUAUGAAGAAGGCCUUCGGGUUGUAAAGUGCUUUCAGCGGAGAGGCGUUACCCGCAGAAGAAGCCCCGGCUAACUCCGUGCCAGCAGCCGCGGUAAUUC
rnacentral:rRNA from 1 species